UAAUUCUAUAUCAUACUGUUCUGUUCAAGUCUCCUAUUACAGUAAUGAAAGCAAUAUUGACUAAUAAUGGUGAGGAUACGGAUACCUAGUAACGAGUGUCAGAUACGGAACCAUGACCAGAGAACCUGAUAAACACACAUGUGCUAUUAAGCAACGUCUUUAUGUGAUUACGUCUGUAGGAAUUCAGAUUGUUAUUGCUUUGCCUCACUGCUCAAUGGAUGCUGAUUUUUUCUGAAGUUAUUAAUCUAUUUGUUUUACUUUUGCUUUAAUGGUCACUGAUAAGGUUUCAACUUCUGCAGUUGUACAUUGAAGGAUACCUACAAGCUAUGUAUGACUCAAUGUAUAGGCAAGAAUAUAUUCGACUGAGAGUAAUUGAUGACUAGGUAACUAAUUAAGUGAGAAAAUAGAAAUAUCAGUACUGCAACAACAUUUAUUUAUUUGAGAUUUAGAUGGCAGCGAAAGGGGACAUCUAAUUGCUGAGGCAUGUUUCAUAAUUAUAUUAUCACUUCUAACAAAGUGUUCAUCCAAAACAGAACCAUACAAAACAGAAACAACAAAAUCUGCUACAUCAAUCCAAACCUGCAAUCGGGGAAAACAUAUCCCAAAACCAUGAAUACAAAUGUAAAACUAACCUGUAAUGAGCAAAUCGGGACGACUGCGAUGAAGAAACCAAGGAACAAAGAACCUGUAAUGAGAAAAGGGAAAUCGAUUAGUUGAAACGAAACCAUAACCAGCAAAUAAUGCAGGCAAACAAAUAAUGAAAAAAAAUUCAUAACCAGCAAGAAACCCUAUUCCGAUUUACCAAGAAACUGAUGAAACAAUCGCAAUCGGAUUUAUAAAAAAAAAUGCAACAACACCCACUAAUGCAUGCAGAGAGGAAGAUGCGAAGAAAUAUGCGAAAUAUGCGAAGAUGGAAGUCUGAGACCGUUUAGCAGAGAAAUAUGCGAAGAGGAAAGAUGAGAAAUGAUGACCGGCUGAGACCGUUUAGCAGAGAAAUAUGCGAA
rnacentral:lncRNA from 1 species